rnacentral:tRNA from 1 species
UGAAGAGCUGUGGGAGGUCACGAUAAGAUUUUGACUCUUACACUAAAGGUUCGACUCCUUUCUCUCCAA